UUUUCAGGGAAGCGGUAGACAAGUUCCUUCAGCUCAACACGAAGUCACUGGCCCGGCCUGGCACCCAGAGGUGUUGGGGCAUUGAAAUCAGACACGGAUUUCAUUCCAACUGACUGCAUGCUAUAUGCCACAGGUGUCAGAGCUGAUCCAAACAGUGAGACAAAAGUCUUGAGGUUAAAAGACAACGUCCUACUCUACUUUAACCCCGACUUGUCUUCACCGUGUUUUGCAAAGAGUAGAUACUCAUUAACCAGUUGGUGAGAGCUGUUUCUAUAUGACAAGAGACCUCUAGAAAAGUGGAAUCAGGUAACAUCACAGAAAGAGACAAGCAGCAACUAGACAGUGUGUCCUCCUGCUAAAAGUACGUAACGUCAGUUGUGAAGUAGUCCUGUCCCUCUCACCCAGAAAAAGCGCCCAACUCUGACGAAGCUUUCAGGAAAUCUAACUACCAAGGUACACGAAAUACAGAAACAGAAGAGCACGUUAAAUGACACCACAGGCAUGUUUGUUUCUAACUUGGUUUUUUAGUUCUAACCUGUCACUAUUUUAAAAAUUGUAUUGAUAAAUACAA
rnacentral:lncRNA from 1 species